AAACGCAGCUAUUAACGACCCAUCGAAAAUCUGCAGCUAUUACCGACCUAUAAAAGUAAUUCGAAAUCUUUACGUUUCCAGAACUAUUCUUACUAUAGGUAGGCAAAGUUACAGACGCGUUUAUUCCUUGAGCAUCGUAUACUUUUACGUUACUGUGAGUAGCUGUGCAGAAAAUAGAUAAAAUACGUCAUUUACUACGGGGCAGCGUGGACGCAGGACAUGGCGUACUGUUCCCUUGUUCCUUCAAAAGUAUGGAGCCACAAAAGUGGCGAAAAGUAUACAGUAAAACACAACUCGCCGAAGCAAUCAAAGCAAAUAAUGAGGGUACCAGUGUAUAUGAGGCAUCAAAAAGGUUUAAUAUUCCCAAAACUAGAUUACGAGACAAACGGGACGCUAAGUAUAAGAAUGAAAUUUGCGGAGUUCAGCCGGUUCUUAAUUUAAGUGAAGAAAAAUGAAGUACCAAUUUGUUUUAUUAAAAAAAACGACAAUAAAAAAAUACGAAUAAG